rnacentral:rRNA from 1 species
AGUGACCUGGGGGGCAGCAGUGGGGAAUAUUGCACAAUGGGGGAAACCCUGAUGCAGCGACGCCGCGUGAGUGAAGAAGUAUUUCGGUAUGUAAAGCUCUAUCAGCAGGGAAGAAAAUGAGGGUACCUGACUAAGAAGCCCCGGCUAACUACGUGCCAGCAGCCGCGGUAAUACGUAGGGGGCAAGCGUUAUCCGGAUUUACUGGGUGUAAAGGGAGCGUAGACGGCAGAGCAAGUCUGAAGUGAAAGCCCGCGGCCCAACUGCGGGACUGCUUUGGAAACUGCCCGGCUAG